GGAUUUCAGCUCAAUGGUAGAGCACUUGCCUAAUAUGUAUGAGGCACAAGGUUCGAUCCUUGGCACCA
rnacentral:tRNA from 1 species